rnacentral:tRNA from 4 species
GGGCCCAUAGCUCAUCCGGUAGAGCGCCUCAUUUGCAAUGAGGAGGUGAGCGGUUCGAGACCGCUUGGGUCCACCA